UACAGAGGAGCCAAGCGUUGUCCGGAUUGACUGGGCGUAAAGCGCACGUAGGCGGUCGUGCGCGUGGGGUGUGAAAUCUGGCCGCUUAACGGCCAGGCGCCAUCCCAUACGGCACGACUGGAGGGCUGCAGAGGUCGAUGGAAUUGCCGGUGUAGUGGUGAAAUGCGUAGAGAUCGGCAGGAACACCCAGGGGGAAACCAGUCGACUGGGCAGCACCUGACGCUGAGGUGCGAGAGCGUGGGGAGCGAACCGG
rnacentral:rRNA from 1 species